UACAGAGGGGGCAAGCGUUGUUCGGAAUUACUGGGCGUAAAGGGCGCGUAGGCGGCCAACUAAGUCGGACGUGAAAUCCCCGGGCUCAACCCGGGAACUGCGUCCGAUACUGGAUGGCUUGAAUCCGGGAGAGGGAUGUGGAAUUCCAGGCGUAGCGGUGAAAUGCGUAGGUAUCUGGAGGAACACCGGUGGCGAAGGCGGCAUCCUGGACCGGUAUUGACGCUGAGGCGCGAAAGCCAGGGGAGCAAACGGG
rnacentral:rRNA from 1 species